GACGGACGCUGGCGGCGUGCCUAAUACAUGCAAGUAGAACGCUGAAGAGAGGAGCUUGCUCUUCUUGGAUGAGUUGCGAACGGGUGAGUAACGCGUAGGUAACCUGCCUUGUAGCGGGGGAUAACUAUUGGAAACGAUAGCUAAUACCGCAUAACAAUGGAUGACACAUGUCAUUUAUUUGAAAGGGGCAAUUGCUCCACUACAAGAUGGACCUGCGUUGUAUUAGCUAGUAGGUGAGGUAAUGGCUCACCUAGGCGACGAUACAUAGCCGACCUGAGAGGGUGAUCGGCCACACUGGGACUGAGACACGGCCCAGACUCCUACGGGAGGCAGCAGUAGGGAAUCUUCGGCAAUGGGGGCAACCCUGACCGAGCAACGCCGCGUGAGUGAAGAAGGUCUUCGGAUCGUAAAGUUCUGUUGUAAGUCAAGAACGGGUGUGAGAGUGGAAAGUUCACACUGUGACGGUAGCUUACCAGAAAGGGACGGCUAACUACGUG
rnacentral:rRNA from 1 species